rnacentral:misc_RNA from 1 species
AAAACGUUCAACUCCCUUCGAAGAUCCACCGGCUGCUUCUUCUUCUGAAGAAGAGGAAAGCUCCAGUGGAGAAGAAGAAGAAGAAGAAGAAGACGGAGAAGAGGCAGAGGGAUCUUCAUCUGAAGAUGACGAAACAGAGGGGAAACCACAAAAACCCUCUUCUCUACCACCACAGACCCAACCGGCAAAGCCAGUUCCCAAGAAGCCCGAUUCUACUACCCAGAAAGCUGGGCCCGAGUCUGAGUCUGAUGGGUCUGAUUCUGAAUCCGAUUCCGAUGAUGACCGAGCUAAUCAUGCCGGUGACGCCACUGUCAAGCCCAUCGCUUCUAAGCUUAUGGAGGAGACUCCCCUUAAAACAACGAAGCCUAGAUCCAAACCAUCGGCAUCAACUCAGGUUGCCGGGAAAUCAACGGCGGCGGUGAAGAGGGGCAGUGAAACGGAUGGCGACCCAAAGGACUCAAAGCGGGCCAAGAAGAAGAAUUCGGAAUCAGAUGGAGC